rnacentral:rRNA from 1 species
GACGAACGCUGGCGGCGUGCUUAACACAUGCAAGUCGAACGAGUGGCGAACGGGUGAGUAAUACGUGAGUAACCUGCCCUCUUUCUGGGAUAAGCCUUGGAAACGGGGUCUAAUACCGGAUAAAGGGGGAUGGGCUCGCGGCCUAUCAGCUUGUUGGUGGGGUGAUGGCCUACCAAGGCGGUGACGGGUAGCCGGCCUGAGAGGGUGGCCUGCCACAUUGUGACUGAGAAACCGCCCAGGCGCCUACGGGGGGGAGAAGUGGGGUCUAUUGCACAAAGGGCGAAAGCCUGAUGCCGCGACGCCGCGUGGGGGAUGAAGGCUUUCGAGUUGUAAACCUCUUGCGCUAUCGAACCGGUAGGUGGAGAAUAAGCGCCGGCUAACUACGUGCCAGCAGCCGCGGUAAUUC